rnacentral:rRNA from 1 species
UACGUAGGGUGCGAGCGUUAAUCGGAAUUACUGGGCGUAAAGCGUGCGCAGGCGGCGCGUUAAGACAGGUGUGAAAGCCCCGAGCUUAACUUGGGAAUUGCGCUUGUGACUGGCGUGCUGGAGUGUGGCAGGAGGGAGGUGGAAUUCCACGUGUAGCAGUGAAAUGCGUAGAGAUGUGGAGGAACACCGAUGGCGAAGGCAGCCUCCUGGGCCAGCACUGACGCUCAUGCACGAAAGCGUGGGGAGCAAACAGG